CCUACGGGUGGCAGCAGUGGGGAAUAUUGCACAAUGGGGGAAACCCUGAUGCAGCGACGCCGCGUGAGUGAAGAAGGAUCUCGGUACGUAAAGCUCUAUCAGCAGGGAAGAGAAUGACGGUACCUGACCAAGAAGCCGCGGCUAACUACGUGCCAGCAGCCGCGGUAAUACGUAGGGGGCAAGCGUUAUCCGGAUUUACUGGGGGUAACGGGAGCGUAGACGGCAGCACAAGUCUGGAGUGAAAUCCCGGGGCUUACCCCCGGACCUGCUUUUGAAACUGUGCGGCUGGAGUGCAGGAGGGGUAAGCGGAAUGCCUAGUGUAGCGGUGACAUGCGUAGAUAUUAGGAGGAACACCGGUGGCGACGGCGGCUUACUGGACUGUAACUGCCGUUGAGGCUCGAAAGCGUGGGUAGCAAACAGGAUUAGAUACCCGAGUAGUC
rnacentral:rRNA from 1 species